AACGAACGCUGGCGGCAUGCCUAACACAUGCAAGUCGAACGAUUGCCUUCGGGUGAUAGUGGCGCACGGGUGCGUAACGCGUGGGAAUCUGCCCUUAGGUUCGGAAUAACAGCUGGAAACGGCUGCUAAUACCGGAUGAUAUCGCGAGAUCAAAGAUUUAUCGCCUGAGGAUGAGCCCGCGUUGGAUUAGGUAGUUGGUGGGGUAAAGGCCUACCAAGCCGACGAUCCAUAGCUGGUCUGAGAGGAUGAUCAGCCACACUGGGACUGGGACACGGCCCAGAAUCCUACGGGAGGCAGCAGUGGGGAAUAUUGGCCAAUGGGCGCAAGCCUGAUCCAGCAAUGCCGCGUGAGUGAUGAAGGCCCGAGGGUUGUAAAGCUCUUUUACCCGGGAAGAUAAUGACGGUACCGGGAGAAUAAGCCCCGGCUAACUCCGUG
rnacentral:rRNA from 1 species